rnacentral:lncRNA from 1 species
UUUCCUUAAAACUAAAUAGUUUUAUCUUGUUUUUUAGGCCACCAAUAAGGAUGGGAAAGCAUGCCACAUGUGCCAAACAAAAGAAGCAAGAAAUGACACUAAAGGCAAAGCUUGCGGAUUGAAGAAGCUGCUGGAAUUAGCCUUUUACCCAGCCAAGAACCUCCACCGCCCAGCCAUUUUCAAACCAGCAAAAUAAACAUUGAACAC